rnacentral:rRNA from 1 species
UUCCAGACUCCUACGGGAGGCAGCAGUGGGGAAUAUUGGGCAAUGGGCGCAAGCCUGACCCAGCAACGCCGCGUGAAGGAAGAAGGCUUUCGGGUUGUAAACUUCUUUUCUCAGGGACGAAGCAAGUGACGGUACCUGAGGAAUAAGCCACGGCUAACUACGUGCCAGCAGCCGCGGUAAUACGUAGGGGGCAAGCGUUAUCCGGAUUUACUGGGUGUAAAGGGAGCGUAGACGGCCAGACAAGUCUGAAGUGAAAAUCCAGCGCUUAACGCGGGAAGUGCUUUGGAAACUGCCGGGCUGGAGUGCAGGAGGGGCAGGCGGAAUUCCUAGUGGAGCGGUGAAAUGCGUAGAUAUUAGGGGGAACACCAGUGGCGAAGGCGUCUUACUGGACCGAAACUGACGUUGAGGCUCGAAAGCGUGGGGAGCAAACAGGAUUAGAUACCCCCGUAG